ensembl:lncRNA
CCGCCUCCGCCUCCGCCUCCGCCGCGGAGCGAGCCGGGCCUCUCCGAUGCACUGGGACCCACUGCCCGGCUGCAGCUGGCACCCCGGAAAAAGACCAAAGCUGUCUAUGCAACGAGCACGGGCCAGGGAGGAAGGUGCUCCAGGGUUUGCGUUGUUAAACACUGGUUCUGUUGUGGACGAGAUGCUAUGUAAAUGUGAUCCCGCCCCCAAAGUCUACACAUCUGUGACCACUUUGAAUAAUAGCAAGUUUGCAUAAUCAUGGAACACAAAUCAAGUACUGUAGUAUUACAGUGGCAGGAAUCUUAAAAUACCAUCUGGUGCUGAAUCUAUGUUGUACUGAAAUACUGGAAUUAUGGUUUUUCACAUGCAGUCCUUACUGUAAUCUUAAUAUUAACUUUUAUUUAUCAAAAUAGCUACAGGAAGCAUACAUGAAUAGCAGCAAAACACUGAAUUUGUUUGGGUGUUCUACGAAAUGGUGCUAAGAAAAUGGUGUCUUUCAUAGCUGAAAAUUUAAUGCCUUUUUUCAUUGAGAUGCUACCAAUGUACUCCAGUACCCCAGAAGAAAGGGGGUGCCUUUGCAUUCAAGUUUUUAUCCUGAAUUACCUGUUCUUACACAAGCGUAGUUUUUAAAACGUGGACAUUGUAAAGGCCUCUGGAUUUUGCUCACCCAGUGACGUCCUGUAGGACAAUAAACAUAUAUAUAUGUACAUCUAUACACCCACCUUUGUAUAUGUGCACAUACAGGUAUAGGUAUAAAUAUUUUAAGUGGCGUUUUAGAAGCACUUUGCCUACCUAAGCUUUGGCAACUUGAACAAUGCUAAGGUACUGAGACGUUUAAAAACAAAAGUUUACUUUCAUUUGAGGACGAAAUUUUUUUGAAAAGGAAACAAGGAAAGCUUUUAAAACAUUUUUGCUUUUGGUCACAUCUGUUGAUGAGCAAUCGUGUUCACUGUUAACACAGCCAGUGAAAUCCGCAAUGAGGCGUGCUGGAUUGAAGGAAGAGUCGGUCCACAAAAAACACGUUUUCUGGUGCUCACCUUACGUGCUAUACUGUAAAACAGUUUUCUACAAAGUUGUGAGACAAGUUCAUUGCUCAGACAUGUCAGCUGUAAGAACUCUGGUAGACACAGGUCAUAAUUAGCCAGAUGUCCACUCGAGCCUACACUCUUCUAGCGUGCUCUACGCUCCAGAAGCUGAACAGCCAUCUGCUUUUGUGUUGGUAAUUCUAUACCUUGGGAUGUCAUCAUGUCUUAGCUUAAGUGUCCUCCUCAGCAGGAAGAUUGAGUGGACUGAGUCCGGCAAAAGAUGAAUAAACAGGGUUAGUUCUGUGUGUGUCUGUUGGUUGAAGAGAAAAUAAAUAAACAAAACAGGCAGCUGGUUUGCUGUAGUGGUUUUAAAAUUAAUUUGUAUAAAGAAGUGCAAGAGUUGUAUAGUAAAUUAAAUUGUAAACAAAACUUUUUUAACGCGAUGCUUUAGUAUUUUAGUACUGUAAAAAAUAUAUACAUAUACAUGGAAUUGAAUUCGAACUCACAUCACGAUGGUGCUACUCAGCCUGCUACAAUGUUAUCCUAAUGUGAGCUGAAAAUUCACAAAAGGGUUGAGUGAUGUUUCUACUUGCCAUAUACCUCAGCACUAGUUUGGCAAUAGGAUUUUGAACCGAGAGUGAAAGCUUAUAGCGUUAUGUACCAUCAUUUUUCCAAGUCUUUUUUUUAAUUAUUAAAAAUACCUUUUUUUCCAAUACUUGAUUUUUAGCAAGUAUAACUUGAACUUUGACCUUUUUGUUUUAAAAAAUCAGGGAUAUUUCAGCUCAUGUUCCCCCUUACGCCAACACAUCAUCUGUGUUUGUGUACAAUUGUUCUAGGUUAAUAUAUUCUUUUUCAGGGAUUUAACCAUUUUAUUUUGAAUCCCUCCUAUUUUGUACAUGUACUGAUAUAAGACUAACUUGUAAAUGUGUUGGCUGUUAAUUAUAACGAAAAGUUUGGAGAAUUUUUUUGACUGUUUCAAGGAGGAAAAGAAAUUACAUGAAAAUAGAAUGCACUGAGCUGAUAAAGGGAAAAUUGUAAGCUAGGAGUUUGGGAAGUAGCUGUUGGCCAGAAUAUGUCAACUCUCCAUAAAGUCCUUGUGAUCUAGUCAGUACCAGCAAAUACUUCAUGAGGACUUCGACAGGUGGGCCUAACACAAGGCGUGGUAUCCAGUAGGACUGUACAAUUACAUUUAGCGCUAAGUACAUUUUUGCUUACUAGCUUUUCAGAUAAAUUCUUAAUCAGUGGAAACUCUUGGGUUUUAUUGGUUAAAUCUUUUAAUCACUGCAGACUUUGGGGUUUUAUUGGUCAAAUCUUUAAUCAGUGGGGGCCUUUAGUUUCUAUCGGCCAAAUCUUUCUAAGAUGAUUUUUGUCUUUAAAAAGCUCUCAAGUUUAUGGCUGUGUCCAAUUUAUAAGCAUUUUUAAGCCAUUUGCUUUGGAUCCAAAUCACAUGGUUAUUGUUUUCCAUAAACCAUAAUCUCCAACCCAAAGCACUGCACAUGGGUUUGGUGAUGUUGAGUGAACCAUCCAAUGAUUGUUUGGUGACCGUGUCAUCCACUGCCAUUUUCAAACUGCUGGCCAACUAGAGCAGGAAGUGUAGUUCAGGUAGGUGGGAAGAAGUUAGGUAGGAAGGAAGUAGAGUGUAUUGUAAAUAUCAGAUCUCUGAUUGUACAUAUCUAGCCUGCCUCAGAAUGAAUGAAAAGCCAGUCUGCAGUUUGCUUAUAUAGGAAUGUCAGGUUGACUCUAUAGCCAUAUUUGAAAAUGCUUCAGUGGUGGCAACUUUACUUGAAUGAAUUUUUCAUCUUUAUUGACGCACAGUGAUGUAUAGUUCACUUUAAAAGCUAGUGGCUAACUUUGGUAGGAAAUGUUUGCAUUUGGACACUAAGAUAAUGAACUGUGUGCAUUUUUCUAUGCUUUAUUUUUUUAACAGUCAUUUCAUUCUCAUGAGAUGUUUGGUUUGUUUGUAAAAUCUAAGGAUGGUUAUAAAUACUGUAAAGUAUUGUAAUGUUAUGAAUGCAGGUUAUUUGAAAGCUGUUUAUUAUUAUAUCAUUCCUGAUAAUGC